rnacentral:lncRNA from 1 species
GUGGAUCCCCCUCCUUUAGGCCUAUAACAUUUUUCUAGCUACAACUCUAAUUUUCAGCAUGUUUUUGUCUUUCGUAUAUAUGUUUUAUUUAUUAUUAUCUUAUUAUUGCUUUAUCUAUUUAUUUUUGUUCUUUCAUUUAUUUUCUUUAGUUUUUUUUAAUUCUUUUACCUCUUGUGUAUAUAAUGUGCCCCUCCCUUUUAUUGUUUCUUUUACCUUUUUUAUUGCUUUAUUUUUUAGUUUAUUUUAUUGUAUUUUUAGUUGAUGCAUAAUUGUUAAUCUAAAAAGACAAAAUGACUCUUAACAUUAACCUUAAAAAAAUACUAAAAUCAAGGGUGCUUGAUCAACAUCAAGUACAUUUUUCAAAAUCAU